AUUGAACGCUGGCGGCAGGCUUGACACAUGCAAGUCGAGCGGAGAUGAGGUGCUUGCACCUUAUCUUAGCGGCGGACGGGUGAGUAAUGCUUAGGAAUCUGCCUAUUAGUGGGGGACAACAUUCCGAAAGGAAUGCUAAUACCGCAUACGUCCUACGGGAGAAAGCAGGGGAUCUUCGGACCUUGCGCUAAUAGAUGAGCCUAAGUCGGAUUAGCUAGUUGGUGGGGUAAAGGCCUACCAAGGCGACGAUCUGUAGCGGGUCUGAGAGGAUGAGCCGCCACACUGGGACUGAGACACGGCCCAGACUCCUACGGGAGGCAGCAGUGGGGAAUAUUGGACAAUGGGGGGAACCCUGAUCCAGCCAUGCCGCGUGUGUGAAGAAGGCCUUAUGGUUGUAAAGCACUUUAAGCGAGGAGGAGGCUACUGAGACUAAUACUCUUGGAUAGUGGACGUUACUCGCAGAAUAAGCACCGGCUAACUCUGUGCCAGCAGCCGCGGUAACAC
rnacentral:rRNA from 1 species